rnacentral:lncRNA from 1 species
AUUGUGGAGCUCGUGGCCUUCAUCUUCUCUCUUCCUUUCCGCCUCCUCGCCGAAAUCCUCUCCGGCGGCGGCGGCGACGGCGACCUGCAGGACGCCCACGAUUACUUCGUCGAGGAAGGCAGGAAGCACCUCGCCGGGCCUGGGGCGCUCCACUUGCUGGGCGAGCGCCGCCGCGACGCGCCGAGCGCCCUCGACGCAGCCCUCAGCGCAGGCUACGGCUACGGCUACCACGACCUCCUUCCGCUGGAGGAGCGCGCCGACGCGCUCGUGGCGCGCGCCGAGAUCGAGCUCGCGCGCUAUCUCCGCUGCACCCUCCUCAACUCCGGCCACCGCGGCCAGGCCAUCGCUGACCUCAGGGAGGCCGUCCGCAUCUGUCCCGACAACGGCCGCGCCAACGCGCUGCUCUUGAAGUACAAUUAA